rnacentral:tRNA from 1 species
GUGGGCGUAGCUCAAUUGGAUAGAGCAUCGGUCUACGAAACCGAAGGUUACAGGUUCGAUCCCUGUCGCCCACA